UAUCAAUACCUUCUCAAUGCGUGUCAG
rnacentral:piRNA from 1 species